rnacentral:rRNA from 1 species
CCUACGGGAGGCAGCAGUGGGGAAUAUUGCGCAAUGGGGGAAACCCUGACGCAGCAACGCCGCGUGAGUGAGGAAGGACUUCGGUCUGUAAAGCUCUGUUAAUGAGGAAAAAUGGUAGUUGGUCUAAUAGGCCGAUUAUUUGAUGGUACUCAUAGAGGAAGCACCGGCUAACUUCGUGCCAGCAGCCGCGGUAAUACGAAGGGUGCAAGCGUUGUUCGGAUUUAUUGGGCGUAAAGCGCGCGUAGGCGGACCUGCAAGUAAGAUGUGAAAUCUCGAGGCUCAACCUCGAAACUGCGUCUUAAACUACAGGUCUAGAAUCUCGGAGGGGGAAGGGGAAUUUCGCAUGUAGGGGUAAAAUCCGUAGAUAUGCGAAGGAACACCAGAGGCGAAGGCGCCUUCCUGGACGAGUAUUGACGCUGAGGCGCGAAAGCGUGGGGAUCAAACAGGAUUAGAUACCCUGGUAGUCCACGCUGUAAACGAUGAACACUAGGUAUUGGAGGAUUUGACCCCUUCAGUGCCGUAGCUAACGCGUUAAGUGUUCCGCCUGGGAAGUACGGUCGCAAGACUAAAACUUAAGAGUAGUGACGNGNGAGAGCGACGACGACGACGACGAGGAGGAG